UACGUAGGGUGCAAGCGUUAAUCGGAAUUACUGGGCGUAAAGUGUGCGCAGGCGGCAGAGCAAGUCGAGUGUGAAAGCCCCGAGCUUAACUUGGGAAUUGCGCUCGAAACUACUUUGCUGGAGUGUGGCAGAGGAAGGUGGAAUUCCAGGUGUAGCGGUGAAUUGCGUAGAGAUCUGGAGGAACACCGAUGGCGAAGGCAGCCUUCUGGGCCAACACUGACGCUCAUGCACGAAAGCGUGGGGAGCAAACAGG
rnacentral:rRNA from 1 species